AUAUUUUUGAACAACACUCUAACUAAAGUGACUAAAAAAUAAACAACGCAUCUAAAUAUUGUAAUGAAGAAAUUAUGUCUGAGGGAAAUGUGAGUGAUAAAAUGAUAAUUCUAGUAAUGAGAAUCUGUUGGAAAGAGGAGGAGACAUGCUUGUAUGAAUAAUGACAUGAAUAAAACUCCAUAUGAAGAUUUAAAGAUGUAUUUUCAGAUAAUGUGACUUAACUAGUUUUAAAUUAAAUGUUACUUUAGCUUUUAUUUGAAAGGCAUUUUAUUUUUGGAAGGAGCUGACAAAAAUUCUAUUCAAACUGUUUCAGUUAAAAAAUACUCAUUAGUAUAAAUAACAGAAUUGCAAGACUACAGUAAAACUUUCUAGACACCAAAUGGGACUUAAGAAUUCAAACUAGAUGACAGGGCUGUUCUGUUUUAGCCUGUGGAAGGAGAAGUUAUAGCUAGCAGCCCUGCAAUUACAUUCCUCCAGAUCCCUGAUACAAAAGAUCACUCUCUUCUCUCAGCCACACAUCAAGCACUCCCAGAAAACCUCUUUCAUUGGGUAAAGAAGUCAGAGGUGGUAAUUUUUAUGCGAUACAGAAGCCUAAUGAAUAUAGUAGAGAUUCCUACACAAUAAUUUGCUUGGGAUAGAACACCUUGUAAAAUCAGGCACCUGUCACAGUGUCUAACCUUCAGAGCAAUGUCUGAGUUUGUGCAUGUGAAAAAAGAAAUUCUAAACUUGAAGUUUAAGCCUGAGCCAUCACUACAGGCCAGCACAUCCAUCAUGCCAGCAAUGUUCAUCUUUUUCUUGGAUUCUAACAAGUUUCAUUUUCAAAUAAGGCAUUUUGAGGAUUUGAAGAUUUGAGAUGAGAAAGGAAGCAGCUUCUGAAUUCUGCGUCUGUCAUUUCGGCCAUUUCAGUCUGGUUAAGAACCAUUGCUGGGGAGAUCGUGUGGUCAUCUGGAGGUAAGAAGAACCUCUGGACUUUAUGGUUCUGGAAUCAGAGUUCUUGUGCUGAUUCUUUUUCAUCUGCGUGGGCUGGUGUUCCUUUAAUGUUUGAAGUUUCUAUCCCUUAAAUGAGACUUUUUACUUUUAUAUUUUUCAAUGUUCUUGAGGAUUUGACUGUGGUAUAAGUUGAAUUUAGUCAAUUGGCUUCAUUUCUGAAUGAUUUCAGGAGGCCAACGCUCAGUUCAGUUCAGCACUCCUAGGCUGAAUGUUGUAACCCUGGGGUGCUGGUUCUAAGCCUGUAGCUUUUUUCUCUGGCCCUUCAAGGUUAAGCACCUGCUACACUGGAGGGGCCAAUGUGUUUCCAGUCUGCUAACAAUAACACUCCAAUGAGGGGUGCCAGCAAAUGUACUUUGGCAGGGUUUCAGCAUGGCAGCAGUGGGUGUCAUGUGCCUGUGCAUGCUGGUAGUAUGGUGGUGGUGGGGUCAGUAUGCACAUGCACUCCAGCAAAGCACGAGGGAGGCUACAGGCAAACGAGUGGUGGUGAAGCAACAGUGAGUGGGUUGCAGGUUUGUGCAAGCUGGUGGGAGCCUCCCUGCAGAAGCUCUCUGACUGUUAGACAGGGUCUGCCAGUGAAAGUAAUGGGGGUGGCUGCUGGCAAGUGCUUCAGCUGGGCAACUGAGACCACACUGAAAGUGGGUGUGGCCAGGAAGGCCCAGCUUAUCCACCACUAACCUAACAAUCAUGUUUUUUUCCUUCAAUUUAACCCACUUUCAGUGCUUUCUAUUGACAUAGUUCAGAUAUUUGUCCCCUCCAAAUCUCAUAUUGAAAUUUGAUCUCCAAUGUUGGUAGUGAGAGAUGUUUGGGUGGUGGGGUGAAUCCCUUAUGAAUGGUUUGGUGCCACCUUCACGGUAAUGAGUUCUCACUCUUAAUUUACAGAAAACUGAUUAUUAAAAACAGCCUAGGAUCUCCCUCCUCUCUUUCCUCCUUUUUAUCUAAUCAUGUGAUUCCUACUUUCCUUCUGCUUCUGCCAGCAGCUUGAGGUUUUCACCAGAAACAUACACUGACGUCAUGUUUCUUGUACAGCCUACAGAACCAAGAUCCAAAUAGAACUCUUUUCUUUAUAAAUCACCCAGCCUCAAAUAUUCAUUUAUAGCAACACGAAUAGACUAAGGUAUCUUCUAUCUAUUGGUGUUCUGAGUUCAUUGAUUCUUUUACCUUUUACCCUACUUCUGUGUAUAAUCCCAUAGCUGUCUAUUCCCUUCAAAAUCAGAUUAAAUUCUAAGGCCUGUCAUUCAAAUCAUUCUCGAAUAUCAGUGCUCUGCUUGUGGUGGGGAAAAACUAAAACUAGGUUAUAUUUACAAUCUAUCUUCUCUGCGAACUCUUCAGGUUACUGAGCAUCACUCAGGGAAAUCUCAAAAUCAAACAUAUUGCUACAUACAAAUCCAUGCUUAUAAACUAUAAUGUAUCUUCAAUACUGCAUUAAAAGUCUGCUUUUCUACUAAGGAAAUUGUUAAUUCCUCAUUAUCCCUUAAAGCUCAAAUCAUAAACACUCAUGUCAGUCUCAGUUUAUGACCCUUCUUCCAAAUACGAUGAGAUAUCAGAAGCCAGCAGACAUAAAAUCAGGAGGAUUCUGAUUUGGACCCAUGUUUCUUCCCUUCCUUGAUUUCAGUACAGGCUUUUGCCUUUAUCGUACAAUAAUAUUCAACUUUUAUCUUUCAAACACUUUCUGAAAUGAAGGAAUGUAAGACUAUAAGUAGAAAGAAAACUAGGACUGGGCAUAGCUGGGUGCUUCUGAAUGCCCACAUUUAUUCUUAUGCCUAUUUAUUCAAAAUCAAGUUAAUGAGAUUUUAGUGGGAGCUUAUGACAGUGCUGAAUGCUGGGGAUACAGGAGUCAGCAAAAGCAAUAAUAUUUAUGACACAAACAAAUGUAUACAUUGUUAAGGAAAACAGAUAAUGCACAAGAAAGAAUCAUAACAAAAUAGAUUCUUGUAAUAGAUGAUAAAAGGGCACAUAUUGGAGGCAUUCCGUUAUUCUUGUCAGAGAAUUAUACAGGAAACCCAACAAUGUAAAGACCUAAUCAACAUGUAAAACUCCUGGAGAAUAAAAAAUAAAACAGGAAGAGAAGAAUGCACAAAGCUACAAAUACAGGAUAGUGCUUACUGCAUUUGAAGAAAAGAACAUAAACUAAAGUGAAAUGAACAAGCAAAGAAAACACUAAAUGUCUGAAGCGGAGGGAAGAAAGGCAAGAUGUGUCAAGUGAGUUGGGAAAAGUCAGGGUCUAACCUACAUCUUAGAUGCUAAAAUAGAACAAUUUAAAUAUGUUUCAAAGGAAAAUAGGAUAUAUUGAAAGAUGUGAUGUUAAUCUAAGGAAUCAGAUGAUCCUA
rnacentral:lncRNA from 1 species